GACCCGUCUUGAAACACGGACCAAGGAGUCUAACAUGUAUGCGAGCCAUUGGGUUGACUAAACCUAGCGGCGCAGUGAAAGCAAAGAGUUGCUUGCAGCUCGAGGGACGACGUGCAAACCGCAGUCCCGCGAUUUCCAAUCAACCUCGCAUUGUUGGGAAUACGCAGAGCAUAGAUGUUGGGACCCGAAAGAUGGUGAACUAUGCCUGGCCAGGUUGAAGUCAGGGGAAACCCUGAUGGAGGACCGUAGCGAUUCUGACGUGCAAAUCGAUCGUCGGAGCUGGGUAUAGGGGCGAAAGACUAAUCGAACCAUCUAGUGGCUGGUUCCUGUCGAAGUUUCCCUCAGGAUAGCUGGCGCUUAAUAACGAGUUUCAUCCGGUAAAGCGAAUGAUUAGAAGCAUUGGGGGCGAAACGCCCUCAACUUAUUCUCAAACUUUAAAUGGGUGAGAAGUCCGUGUUGCUUGAGUGAACUCGGACACCGAAUCGGAGUGCCUAGUGGGCCAUUUUUGGUAAGCAGAACUGGCGCUGUGGGAUGAACCAAACGCGAGGUUAAAGUGCCAAAAUGGAAGCUCAUCAGAUCCCACGAAAGGUGUUGGUUGCUUAAGACAGCAGGACGGUGGCCAUGGAAGUCGGAAUCCGCUAAGGAGUGUGU
rnacentral:rRNA from 1 species